UAGGGAAUAUUGGGCAAUGGUCGAGAGACUGACCCAGCCAUGCCGCGUGCAGGAUGAAGGCUUUCUGAGUCGUAAACUGCUUUUGCCAGGGAAGAAUAAGGGGGAUGCGUCCUCCGACGACGGUACCUGGUGAAUAAGCACCGGCUAACUCCGUGCCAGCAGCCGCGGUAAUACGGAGGGUGCAAGCGUUGUCCGGAUUUAUUGGGUUUAAAGGGUGCGUAGGCGGCUUUUUAAGUCCGGGGUGAAAGCCCGUUGCUCAACAACGGAACUGCCCCGGAAACUGGAGAGCUUGAGUACAGACGAGGGCGGCGGAAUGGAGGGUGUAGCGGUGAAAUGCAUAGAUACCCUCCAGAACCCCGAUUGCGAAGGCAGCUGCCUAGACUGUAACUGACGCUGAGGCACGAAAGCGUGGGGAGCGAACA
rnacentral:rRNA from 1 species